GCAUUAUAGCAAAAUCAACCAAUACCAUAUGAAUUUACUUCUGGACAUAUGGAAAAAAGAGAUUAAGAGACCAACACUGGUUUUUAAAAGCAACAAUAAUCUAACAGUGAACUUCAAAAAUAAUUGGAACUCUUAAGAAAUAUUUUAGGACCUUACUAAGAGGCUCUAACCAUGGACUGUGGUUGAUGUAUCAGAUUAAAGCCCAAGGGCAUGGCCACAUCAUUAUGACAAUAGUUUAAGUUGUUAAGAAGCUCAAGGACCAACAAGUGAGAAUGUAAUUCUCCAUCAAGAUUGCCAGCUGUUUUUAAGUGUUUGGAGACCAAGAUGAAGACCACAAGAAUCAGUGGCAGAUUGUCAAAGCAAUGAUGCAGAAGCCUACCAUUACCAUUACGAGCCACAAGAGAAGAUCCAGUGUAUGGCUCCAACAUGAAGGUUAUAUAUAAGGCAGUACAGUGAGUCCUCAUUUGCUACAUCAUAGAAAGAUUCUUGGAAACUGCAACUGUGGGUGAAAUGACGGAUGAUGAAAGCGAUCUUACCACAAACUCAUUGAUAUAAACAAGAGGUAUUCUCUGUGUUGACAGACCUGCUAAUUAUAGAUGAAGAUUUUCGUUGGGGUCGAAACGGUCAUUCCUGGCUUCUGAUAUACAGAUCCAAGAGUUUACCUUCUGCUUAAAGAACAAUUUGCUGCAGCAGGCCUGCCCUUAAAUUAUUAUGUAUGUUUCUGCAAUGAUAAGCCACAAUAAAAACCAUGCAACAAUA